UGCAUGCGCGCACACUACACACUGCAGAAGAGUUAGUUUAGCUCUGAGAAUAUCUAGUGAAUGUACAGUGGACGUUUGUGCAGAAAUAACUGCUGCAGCUCCUCCAGACCAACAGAGGUUUCUCGUGUCUUGUGAAGUGAGGGGGCUCCGCAGCGAGAAACGUUAU